AAAAUUUGAUAUUUUACCGUAGACAGUAGGGGAGAAAUCUUAAUUAUCCUACCGAGGACUUUUUAAUAAAAGACUUUGGCCUUACUGUUUUAGUAAGGCUUUUAUUUU
rnacentral:sRNA from 1 species